AAGAUGAAGACUAUAAGCAGAGGACA
rnacentral:piRNA from 1 species